ACUAUUUUGUUAAGCAUACAGUGGAUUUAAUUAAAAUUGCUAUGUCCCCCACGAUUCUGUCGUAGUGUUCUUACCAAUUUUUUGCAUUGAAAAUAAAAACCUUUCUGAAGUGGAAUCUAUUAUGUUAUGCAUUUUGGUCUAAUACAUUUCUGUCAGUGUGACAGACUUCAUAGUAAAAAUAAGCGCAUAUCAAUGAUGAUUUGGCCCACAGUUUUUCUGACAGCCAUUUUUGUUUUGCAAGUUAACUGAUGCGAUUUGUGUUUAGUUGCGUUGUUUUUUUAUUUAUAAUAAUAAGCACAGGGGAAAAUAAAUUCAAAAUAAUAAUUGAUGAUCUUUUUGCGGAUCCUUUACUGAUUCAAAAGCAUGAUAAAACUCCUGAGCUUCGAAAUCUUUUAGUGACUGCAUCGGGAAUAGAUCCUUCAAUCGAAGUCGGAAUUCUAUUCUAUUUUUCGAGACUGUACGAUUGGAAAAACGCAUCCCUCUGGACUCUUACGCGAUCGCUACCACAAUCGGAAGAAAUGUCUGUUGGAAAGACAAUUUCAACAAACUGAUACCAAUUAUUGGAAAGUUGUUAAGGAGAAGAGGCUAGGAUUAACUGGCGAAGAAUCGAAAAGCAGAGUUCUUUCAAAUUUUGGCUUCGAAACUAUCAACAACUGGCUGAUAAAUUCUUUAAUCUUUGAAACGACUCGUUUUUGCUACACAUACAAACCUUCUUAAAAGAUACAGAUUCUGGCAGAAUAAAUGUACUGGCCGAGUGAUCAAGACUGUCUCUGGACUGUAUACCUUUUGAUCGACGCGGAUUUUGAUUCUAUACAUGGAAAAUUGGACAAUCCUCGAAGGACACACGGGAAAGAUUUAUUCAACAAUUCUUAUUAUAUGUAAAUCAAAAUGGAUUGAAGGACGAUUAUUCUCGACAAUUGUUGAACCAUAUAGAGGAAACAUCUGUUGCUAAAGGUAAAACAAUGCAUCGAGAUUUCAUCUGCUGUUCCAUUUUCCAUGGGGUCAAGCCGGUUCGUACGUCAUCAAGGAAGCUGUCAUCGUUUCUACGAGCGCAAACUGAUAUGUGUUACGCAUGCAAAACGGAGAUUGAAUUCCGAGAAGUAGUAGAGCUUUUGCGUCAGGAACUUAAAGAGAAAAAUAUUUUAUUUUCGUAUCUAUGUGAUAGGCAAAACCAAACAGGUAACAAGGUUACUUUCGAUUGAAGAAAUACUUUUAAUAAACACUAAA